rnacentral:rRNA from 1 species
GUAACUCUUGAAGUCGUUAAAGGCUUUCUCAAGAUACAUCUUUUUGAAGGCUUUCUCAAGAUACAUCUUUUUGAAUUGGCAAAACUUAAAACUUAAUUAUAGGUCAUCAGACGAGAG